AGAACGAACGCUGGCGGCAUGCCUAACACAUGCAAGUCGAACGCUUUUGGGGCUUCGGUCCCAAAGGAGUGGCGCACGGGUGAGUAGCGCGUGGGAACCUGCCCUGUUGUGGGGGAUAACCGAGGGAAACUUCGGCUAAUACCGCAUACGCCCGGGGGAAACUCCGGGGAAAGAUUUAUCGCAGCAGGAGGGGCCCGCGUCGGAUUAGGUAGUUGGUGGGGUAACGGCCCACCAAGCCUGUGAUCCGUAGCUGGUCUGAGAGGAUGAUCAGCCACACUGGGACUGAGACACGGCCCAGACUCCUACGGGAGGCAGCAGUGGGGAAUAUUGGACAAUGGGCGCAAGCCUGAUCCAGCAAUGCCGCGUGAGUGAUGAAGGCCUUCGGGUUGUAAAGCUCUUUCGCACGCGACGAUGAUGACGGUAGCGUGAGAAGACGCCCGGCUAACUUCGCGCCAGCACGCCGC
rnacentral:rRNA from 1 species